GCAGUCGAUCCACAAUGCGGAAGAGCAACUGCUGCGCUUUGGAUGUGACCAGCAGGAGGCUCCAAUGCUUCACUACACAGCCUGGCUCACAAGGUUCAAGAAAGACAGACAAACAACUGAUUGUUUCUUGACUCCACAGGAUGUCUCCCAUGUAGUCCAGCGCUCUGGUCACCAUGGCAGAACGCUCAGACAAAACCUGCAGUCUGCUGUACACCAUGCCUACAGCCUGACGCAAAAAAGAAGCAGAUGAACGAUUGAAAAGUUUGGAAACCUUGUGCUGCACUACUGUUGACCAAAUACGGCACGGACAUUUUCAGAAUGAAUAAACGGACGGACGGACAGAUGGACAGAGAGACAGACAUAAAAGGUCAGGUAUGAAUUUCACAAUACAGUGGUACCUUGACUUACAAGAUUCUUUUUUUCAUUACCAAGCUCCUAACUCAAUUUACUAACCCUUACUCAAAUUUUGACUCGUAACACAAAGCAAAAAAACAAAAACAAAAAUAAAUCCACCAGGCGACAGCUCGUAACUCAGGGGCACUCGUGAGUCAAGGUAUCACUGUGUGUUUAAAGACCCUGUAAAGUCAUUUCUGUUUUGUUUUUUUCCCUAAAUAGAUUUAUGUUGGAAGCUAUGUGUUAAAAAUGUGAAAAGACUGAGAACAAUUUAGUACUGAUUUGCUGAUAUACAUUGAAAAAUUGUUUUCACCUUCUCUGUUGUUUGUUUGGGCAGGGCUAAAACAGGAGUGCUCUGACACAACCAGGGAAGAGCAUGUGUCGGCUCUCCCGCACUAUAUAAGUACUGAGUGCCUUCAGUGGCUAUUUGGCGCAAUUACCAUUUCCUCAUUCAUAAUAACUUGGUCCAUUUCUACCACUACAGUGUGCAGUUGGCCAUCAAGCUAUGCCUACAACCCGAAAAAAAAUCGAUCUUCCUUGAAGUGUUAUGUGUUUUGUGUUGAGCUACAGCAUCUCUGCCACGUGCCCUCAUGCCCACUCUGAGCAACACCGCGGUGAACCCGACAGUUCCGCCGCCGCGCAUGAGACUGCUAGUUAGCAGCAACCCGCAGUCCAGCACAACAGCGUUGGGACCUGUCCAACUCGCAACAGCUGCGCCCUGCAAGGGCCCUCACAACGUAGACACUUCAGGGAAAGAUGUGGAAGGUACCGCGUGACAACAAGUGGAUCAACCAUGUCAUCCCAGCCGAAGCAUUGCAAGAUGGACUGAACUGGAUUGGGUUGAAGGUCCUGGGGUGCAGAAGUGGGCAGCUCAAAGGCCAG